UACAGAGAACAUCGCCCGCGAGGGUGACUCUCCAACCCUAUGUUAAUUAUACCUUUGUUGCUUUGGCGAGCCGCUCCGGCCACCGGCUUCUCGCUGGUGAGUGCUCGCCAGAGGACCCUAAACUCUGUUUAUACAUGUCGUCUGAGUACUAUAUAAUAGUUAAAACUUUCAACAACGGAUCUCUUGGUUCUGGCAUCG
rnacentral:misc_RNA from 1 species